GCCUCCGUAGCUCAGUUGGUAGAGCAGUUGACUCUUAAUCAAUUUGUCCGCGGUUCGAGUCCGCGCGGGGGUACCA
rnacentral:tRNA from 1 species